rnacentral:rRNA from 1 species
AUUGAACGCUGGCGGCAGGCCUAACACAUGCAAGUCGAGCGAGCGGCGGACGGGUGAGUAAUGUCUGGGAAACUGCCUGAUGGAGGGGGAUAACUACUGGAAACGGUAGCUAAUACCGCAUACCAUCAGAUGUGCCCAGAUGGGAUUGGCGAGUAGGUGGGGUAACGGCUCACCUAGGCGACGAUCCCUAGCUGGUCUGAGAGGCUGACCAGCCACACUGGAACUUAGACACGGUCCAGACUCCUACGGGAGACAGCAGUGGGGAAUAUUGCACAAUGUGCGCAAGCCUGAUGCAGCCAGGCAGCGUGUGUGAAGAAGGCAUUCGGGUUGUAAAGCACUUUCAGCGGGGAGGCGUUACCCGCAGAAGAAGCACCGGCUAACUCCGUGCCAACAGCCGCGGUAAUAC